CCUACGGGGGGCAGCAGUGGGGAAUAUUGCGCAACGGGCGAAAGCCUGACGCAGCAACGCCGCGUGAGGGAUGAAGGUCUUCGGAUCGUAAACCCCUGUCAGCAGGGAAGAACGGUCACUGUGCUAAUCAGCAGUGAAUUGACGGUACCUGCACAGGAAGCACCGGCUAACUCCGUGCGAGCAGCCGCGGUAAUACGGAGGGUGCGAGCGUUUAUCGGAAUUACUGGGCGUAAAGCGCUCGUAGGCGGUAUGUCAAGUCAAGGGUGAAAUCCCCGCGCUCAACGUGGGAACUGCCUUUGAUACUGGCAAACUGGAGUGUGUUAGAGGAUAGUGGAAUUCCAGGUGUAGGAGUGAAAUGCUUAGAUAUCAGGAGGAACAUCAGUGGCGAAGGCGACUAUCUGGCACAUAACUGACGCUGAGGAGCGAAAGCGUGGGUAGCAAACAGGAUUAGAUACCCUUGUAGUC
rnacentral:rRNA from 1 species